ensembl:snRNA RNU6-1098P RNA, U6 small nuclear 1098, pseudogene
GUACUCGCUCUGGCAGCACCUAUACUAAAACUGGAAUGAUUAGCAUGGCCCCUGCAUGAGAAUGACAUGUAAAUUCAUGAAGCAUUCCAUUUUUUU